rnacentral:rRNA from 1 species
GACGAACGCUGGCGGCACGCCUAACACAUGCAAGUCGAACGGUGAAGAGAAGCUUGCUUCUCGGAUCAGUGGCGGACGGGUGAGUAACAUGUGAGGAACCUGCCUUUCAGAGGGGGAUAACGUUUGGAAACGAACGCUAAUACCGCAUAACAUAUUCGGACGGCAUCGUCUGAAUAUCAAAGGAGCAAUCCGCUGAAAGAUGGCCUCGCACCUGAUUAGAUAGUUGGUGAGGUAACGGCUCACCAAGUCGACGAUCAGUAGCCGGACUGAGAGGUUGAACGGCCACAUUGGGACUGAGACACGGCCCAGACUCCUACGGGAGGCAGCAGUGGGGGAUAUUGCGCAAUGGGGGAAACCCUGACGCAGCGAUGCCGCGUGGAGGAAGAAGGUUUUCGGAUUGUAAACUCCUGUCUUCAGGGACGAUAAUGACGGUACCUGAGGAGGAAGCUCCGGCUAACUACGUAG